rfam:Candidatus Falkowbacteria bacterium RIFCSPLOWO2_12_FTLL_45_10 rifcsplowo2_12_scaffold_87115, whole genome shotgun sequence.
GCUCCCAUAGCUCAACGGAUAGAGCGUCAGCCUCCGGAGCUGAAAAUUGAGGUUCGAUUCCUCAUGGGAGCA